rnacentral:rRNA from 1 species
UCAUGGCUCAGGAUGAACGCUAGCUACAGGCUUAACACAUGCAAGUCAGGGGCAGCGAGAGGAAAGCUUGCUUCCUUGUCGGCGACCGGCGCACGGGUGAGUAACGCGUAUCCAACUUCCCCGAUAGUAGAGGAUAGCCCGGCGAAAGUCGGAUUAAUACUCUAUGUUGUGUCAUGAGGACAUCUGAAUAACACUAAAGAUUUAUCGCUAUGGGAUGGGGAUGCGUCUGAUUAGCUUGUCGGCGGGUAACGGCCCACCGAGGCAACGAUCAGUAGGGGUUCUGAGAGGAAGGUCCCCCACAUUGGUACUGAGACACGGACCAAACUCCUACGGGAGGCAGCAGUGAGGAAUAUUGGUCAAUGGACGAGAGUCUGAACCAGCCAAGUAGCGUGCAAGGAUGACUGCCCUAUGGGUUGUAAACUGCUUUUAUGCGGGAAUAAAGUCAGGUACGUGUACCUGUUUGUAUGUACCGCAUGAAUAAGGACCGGCUAAUUCCGUGCCAGCCGCUGC